rnacentral:tRNA from 1 species
GGAGGUAACGGCACAGUGGUGGAGUGCGUGCUUAGCAUGCACAAUGUCCUGGGUUCAAUCCCAAUUCCUCCG